GGGCCCGCACAAGCGGUGGAGCAUGUGGUUUAAUUCGAUGCAACGCGAAGAACCUUACCUGGUCUUGACAUACACAGAAUCUUGUAGAGAUAUGAGAGUGCCUUCGGGAAUUGUGAUACAGGUGCUGCAUGGCUGUCGUCAGCUCGUGUCGUGAGAUGUUGGGUUAAGUCCCGCAACGAGCGCAACCCUUGUCCUUAGUUACCAGCGGGUUAAGCCGGGAACUCUAAGGAUACUGCCAGUGACAAACUGGAGGAAGGCGGGGACGACGUCAAGUCAUCAUGGCCCUUACGACCAGGGCUACACACGUGCUACAAUGGUACUUACAAUGGGAUGCAAAGAGGCGACUCUUAGCUAAUCCCUAAAAUGUACCUCAGUUCGGAUUGUACUCUGUAACUCGAGUGCAUGAAGCUGGAAUUGCUAGUAAUCG
rnacentral:rRNA from 1 species